rnacentral:rRNA from 1 species
GACGUAGGGGGCAAGCGUUAUUCGGAAUCAUUGGGCGUAAAGCGCUCGUAGGCGGGACGGGAAGUCCGUGAAGAAAGACCUGGGCUCAACUCAGGGACCGGCACGGAUACUCUCGUUCUUGAGGCAAUCAGAGGGUGAUGGAAUUCCCGGUGUAGCGGUGAAAUGCGUAGAUAUCAGGAGGAACACCUGCGGUGUAGACGGCUUUCUGGACCAUUGCUGACGCUGAGACACGAAAGCGUGGGUAGCAAACAGG